GAGCAAGGACUUCAGGUCCGAAAGGUAUAAUUGUGUCGGAUCACUGGGUAAAAUUUUAUGUCACGAAGACGAUGGACCAUAUCCUCGUUCUGCAGGGCUUCCUGUUCUUCAAUGAACUCUAAAAUACAACCAGGCGCCAAAGUAUCUGAUAGAGAUUCAGACUUUGAUAUAUCACGGCCAGUUUAUAUAACUUUCCAGGGAAGGCGUAUGCAAGAACAAUUUCAUUUGUGGCAUCAGCUCAAAGCUUA